UGAUAACUAUAGCAGGGAGGAAUAGGAUCAGGUAGAACGGGUAGCUGGCUUGAAGGGGAGGAUCAGGAAGGUGGUGGCUUUUGUCAAGAUGAAACUCCAACUCCAGAUUUAAGAAGACAUCACAAAACCAAUAGAGGCUUAGGAACCAUGGCGGCAUCAGGUUUCAUUUGUAAAGCGACAGCUGGCAUAAGGAAAUCCCUAAUUUGAGGUGUAAAAGGCUAAAAUAGGCACAGAAGAUGAACUAGUUCAAAAGGAGCAAAUGGCAAUGCAAAUUUAAGGCUCCAUUUUAAACAGCACACGGAAAUAUUCAAAGUGUGGUACAUUUGCUUUCACCAUCAAAAGACAUGAAAAGGGGAAGAGGACUCACUAGCAGAGGAUUUAGUGGACAAGUGGAGACUGGCUUGAGAAGAGAGAUGUGGAAAACUGGGUGAAACUUCAUGGAGCUGGGCAGCUUCAACGUGACCAGACGUUUACUUCUGCUCAUACCUUUUGUACAAUCCUUUGUUCCUCUGCUUUGGAAAUGCACACAAUUGUGACAAGUAAAUGCAUACUGGAUAUAAAUAAUAGUCAUUUUUUCGCUCCAUUCAUUCUUGUAACAUUUCUGCAAUUCACCCUGUCUGUUCAAUAGCAAGUGGUCUGUACAAUAUAAUGACUCCAAAUCUGUAUGUCCGCGUUAAAUGAUCCGUGCUUUAGGUGAGAUAAUCCCAAUGGUAGCAUGCAGCUAAUUUAAAUUUAGAUUUUAUAACCAUAUUUAUUCAUUUGAACCUGUCACGCCUGGGUGAGGGUUGUCACGUCUUGGUAUUUUGUCUCAUCAUGCUUUAUUUUGAAGCCCCACUCACCCUUCCUGCUGUCUCACCUGUCACUGAUUAUGAUUACCCAUUGUUUCCACCUGUGCCCCAUUCCUCAUGUGCUUAAAUUGUUUGUCGCUCUCUAGUCUCGUGCCAAAGUGUCUUAGCCUUUGGUUGCUACCCAAGCCAGUCCAUAGCCAAAGAUAUUCUAAGUUGUUCAUAGUAUUCCGCCAUAGCUCUUUGUUAUUUUGUGCCUCAUGCAUAGCCCUUUGUUGUAGUUGUAAACUCCAGUGCAUUUCAGAGCUCUCUUGUUUCUCGUUUGUAUUAUUUUUGUUUCAUAGCCCGUUAUUUCCUCCUGCUGGA